UAGUUUGUCUUUGUAUCUUCAGCAUAUAGCCUCAAAUAGGCACACAACCAUGCUCAUUGAAUUAACUAUGGGGUCAUAGUCCUAUUGUACAUAGUCUUGAUUAGCCAGCUCAGAGGAUUGUGUUUAGGUCAUGAUGUCUCUUGAAGAAGUACUUGGAAACCUGAUGUGUAGUCAGAGGAAAAGAAUUCCAAACAAUGUUAUGAGAGCAACUGUAGCCUGGGACCAAUGUAUAGAGUAAUAGGGAAGAAGGAUUUGGUUUUAAUAUAAGGAAGAAUUAUCUAACUAGAGCUGCUUGAACACAGGAUGAAUGGCUUUGGGGUAUGGUGAGGGUUUUUUGGGGUUUUUUUGUUUUGUUGUUUUGCCAGUGGAGAUGUUGAAAUAAAGCCUGGAUGGAUAACCUUCUUGAGCAGACUGAACAAGCGCUUAAAGCAUCUGGAGUGAUCAUGUCUAGCAGCUGAGUGUGGGGUUCUUAAAGCAAGAUUCUCCUUCAAUGAAGGGAUUUGUCUCUUUGGAAUAGAGUCAGUUCAAUGCCAAGUUGAUUCUACUCUUGGGUCACAAGAGAAAAAGGUACCAGCUGGAAGAUGAGUCUGCCCAUUUGGAUGAAAUGCCAUUAAUGAUGUCUGAAGAAGGCUUCGAGAAUGAUGAAAGUGAUUACCACACGUUACCACGAGCUAGGAUCCCACAGAGAAGAAGAGGACUAGAGUGGUUUGUCUGUGGAGGAUGGAAGUUCCUCUGCACCAGGUUUGUGAUCUCUUGCUGCCUAAUUUCCUAUGCCCUCAGGUAUACAGUUAAGGUAUUUAGAAGCUCGGCUUCUAACAUACUUAUUUUUAUAUCAAAUAAAGAAGACACUCUCAAUGAAAUGACAUAACGGAAAGUGUUAAACAUUAGUCAAAACCAAACAUUGCUAAUCAGAAAAGGACAGAAUGCCAAGUUCACUUUCUUUUUUUAAAGAUUGUAUUUAUUUAUU